rfam:Triticum aestivum genome assembly, contig: Triticum_aestivum_CS42_TGACv1_scaffold_130474_2BL
UGUGUAUUCCCUCCAUCUCAAAAUUCUUGUCUUAGAUUGCUCUAGAUACAUAUGUAUUUAAUACUAAAACGUGACUUGAUACAUCCGUAUUUAGACAAAUUUAACACAAGAAUUUUGGAACGGAGGGAGUACUAG